UCUGAAAAGAACUGGUGAGGUCUCUGCAGAAUAACGAAUGAGGAAAAUGAACAAGACAGAGCACGGGAAGAAGAUUCACGGGAAAGCACAGCAGCAUGAGCCAGAAGCAAAGCUGAAAAUAAGGUUUCUCCAUCUGUGAGGGAAAUACACACUUCUGCCUUGCGAAGAAGAAUAUCAACCUGACAAUGUAUGUGAAGAGUAUUUCGACUCCAACUUGUAACUAUGGUUGUCCUAUUUGAAUGAACAAACGACCGAACCAGACAUGAUCAGGAGGAAUAUUUUAAAGGACAUCAGUCAGGUAGGAUGACCAGACAAAUUGGGGGUUUCAAGGCCCCCAAACCAGACAAUGCAAUUGCAUCUAGACAUUCUAGAGGACUGCCCAACUGAUUUAAUGGUAUAGUGAUUAAUUGAUGGACAUAGGCAGGACCAGGAGUAACAAUGUGCACUAAACUUAAAAAGAAAAGAAAAGAAAAAGAGGCAACUAUAGCAGGUUAGAAUCAGCAGAGUUUUUCAGGGCUCUUGUCUUGACCACAGUAUUUUGGAACCCUUCUUUCCCCCAGUUCUGUUUCCUACUGUUUCCCAGGAAAGAAGCUACACCAAGGAAUCUGCAAUCUAAAAGUCACAGGAUGUCUUUGAGACUCUUUAACUAACAAAGUUAUCGUGUUAUCCUGAUCAUGUGAGAAGAAGUGGUGCUGUAGCAGCUCCCAUCUGGGGUAAUCCAAGAAUCUGACAAGUAGUGGUCUUGUGCAAGUUAUUGCUUCUCAUGAGAAGACAAAAAGGCAAGGCUUCAUCACAAGGAUGGCCAACCUAAGGCUAUAGCUGUUGAACUAUAACUUCCAUCAUCCCAGUCACAAUGGCCAACAGCCAGGGAUUAUGGAAGCUGUAGUUCAACAACAGCUGAAGGGUCUCAGGUAGGCCAAUGCUGCUCCACUGUAAUCUCAGCCGUUGAAAUAAAACACAUUGCAUACUGGGGUGCGGGGACACAAUGCCAUAAACCGCUGAAGAUCCUCCAGUCUUCCAACAAGAGCAGAAGAUUUCAACAGGAACAAGUGGUAUUUGAAGGCACACAUAAAGGCAAUACAUUACACUUAUCUUCCCCUCACAAUGCUAAACCAAGCUAUAGGCCACUGACAAAAACUAAAAUCAGAAGUGACCUCUUCUGGGUCCACAAACUAGCAUAUGCUGCUCUCUUUAUUCAACCCAUUAUGGUAGCUGGGGGAUACGAAUAGUAGCCUUUAUACGGACUUCUGGUUUGCCUCUAACAAACUACACACAAAGUGGACAGCAUCCAGGCUAAGUGAGUCAAGACUAACUCCUACUGAAAUUAGUCAGUCAUGAUUAGCUUGUCUCACCAAUUUCAAAAGGUACUUAGUCAUGACUAACUAGCUUGAACGAUGUCCAGUACAACCUAUAAGGUGUGAGACAUUAUAAACAAACUACAUUUCAAUGGGGGAUGAUAAGAAUAUGGUAUUUUCCACUAUUGGUUUUUAGUGGGGAAGAUAAAGAGGCCUGCUGACCUUUCAUUCAGUUUAAGAAGGAAACUCAACACAAAAGGGGGUUGUGGAAGCAGGAAGUCACUUGUGGAAGCAAGAAGAAAGAGAACGAGAGGAGGACAGAGCAUGCAGAAUGAAAUCACCUGCUGACUGGGGUACGAUGGAGAGGAAGUGCAAGUGGAGGAAGAAGAGAGCAUGAUCACUUUUUUGGGGCAGGUCCGAGAACGGUCCUUUUUCCUCAUCUUUGUUUAAAAACAAGGGGAGAAAAAGAAAACAAUAGAGCAAGAAGAAACAUGGUCAUUGGGUUUGGUAGACUGGGAGUUCACAUGAGCAGUAGCUGAGGUAGUAAAACUGUUUCUGGACUGUACUACUUCAGGUUACAGGUGGAAGAUAAUCUCACAAUGUUCCUCCACAGAAAUAUCUCAAUGUUUCUCUCUAAAAAACAAGAUGUCAUGGAGAAGAAUUCUAGCCUAGCCCUCUCUCCGAUAUUAAACUAUAUGUGUAGGUUUUUAAAAAAUGGUUAUUAUUAAUAUAUAUACAAUCAUAUCAGCACCCACCCAAAACUGUAUGGCUCAGGAACAGUUCCACCAUCUCAUCUGCCAGUUAUGCAAACUAUGCCUUAGAAAUGCAUUGUCUGGAGGAUGCUGGUAUUACUUUUCUUUUUCAGUUGUCAAGUAGGAACGAAUACUGCUGCAGAUCAAUGGAGCAGAAACCUUGAAGGGUUGUUUCCUCAUGUUGUGGGUGACAUCAUUUGAAGUCUUCACAUGGCGACAAACAUGUACAACCCCCUUGACUUUGGCACACCCACCUGCAAGAGCUUCAAAAUGCUCCCUCCCUCAGUGUUUAUAAAAACAACUAAAGACACUUCUUUUUAGAGAGGCUUGUUAAUGUUUUAUCCACUGAUUAGAUCUGAUUUUUAUUUUGCUUUCUUCUAUUAAGCAGAACCAAAAUAAUUCUCCUUUUGGAAGAUGCACUUUGAGAAUUAAAACAGUAGACCUUGAAGGAAUGACCUUGUGCCUUUUUACAGCAGAUGACAUCUCUAAGAAAAAAGAAGAGGAUUAUUCUAUGGAAUUCCUCUUUGCUACCCACUGCCAUGCCUUCUUAAGAGAAUAAACCAGAGGAUGCUACAUCUCCACAUACUUGAACCUGCUGGCCAGAGACAGAAGGGUUUCAUCUGACUUGUUGGAUGAGAUUUGCUAAACGACACACCAUAGUUUGGGAUAGUGCCCAAGUCUUACCAGAAGCUUUGAAAAGCUCCCUUUGUGCCUUCAAAAACGCUCUAUAACAAGGCAUGCAAAAAAAACACAAACCCAAACCCAGAAGCGAUUCUAUUUUACUAACUGGACAUGCUGAAAAGCAGGUAAAAUGGAAAUUUAUUAAGAACAGGACCAGUCAAACAAACUGCCUAAGUUUCUACUGAGGCCAAUAAUACUUGCUGAUUGCUGCUGGUUUUGGUGAGAAUGGGCUAAAUUUGCAUGAGUGUUUGCUUCCCUCAGAAGAAGAGAUUCUGACUCUGUCUGGAAAAGGAAAUGAUCAUCAAUGAAGUUGUCCAUGAAAAUUACUCCAUUGUCUAGACACAAGGCAAGAAAAAAAUGCAACAAGGAUCUAAUUCUGUUCAUUAUUCAUCAUGCUGUGAACCGCCCUGAGCCAUUUUGGAAGGGCGGUAUAUAAAUCUAAUAAAUAAAAUAAAAUAAAAUAAAAAAUAAUAAAUUUUUUUUAAAAAGGAAGACAUAUUACAAAUUUUGUGCUGGUCAACGACCGUAAUAAAGAUUAUUAUUAUUAUUAUUAUUAUAUUACAAAUUUAAAUUUAGCAGA